UAGUCAUAUGCUUGUCUCAAAGAUUAAGCCAUGCAUGUCUAAGUUUCAGUCCAGGUGGCUAAACUGCGAAUGGCUCAUUAAAGCAGAUAAAGCUGAUGCGGGCGAAUCAUCUACACGGAUACCUGUGGAAAUUCUAGAGCUAAUACGUGCCGAAAAUGCUUUUCAAGCAACGUAUAUUGGUUUGGUCAACAACUUUGGGACGAAAAUUAUGCAGUAGAUUGCAAAGAUACGUCUGGCAACGACCCGCUUGGUUUUCUGACCUAUCAGCUGUCGACGGUUGGGUCUUGGCCAACCGUGGCAUUGACGGGUAACGGGGAAUUAGGGUUUGAUUCCGGAGAAGGAGCAUGAGAAACGGCUCCUACAUCUAAGGAAGGCAGCAGGCGCGUAAAUUACCCAAUCCUGACGAAGGGAGGUAGUGACAAGAAUUAUCGAUGCAAGGCAUAUUGCUUUGUAAUUGGAAUGGGUGGCGUCUAAAACCCGCCACGAGUAUCGAUU
rnacentral:rRNA from 1 species